UCUAACUUUUAACAAAGCAUAUUAUGUUUAUAUUUCUU
rnacentral:tRNA from 1 species